GCCUUCACCAUCUAAUUCCUAUGCAUCUUGCAUUUCAACAGAGUAUGCACUUUACAUUAGCAUAAAGGAACACAAAAACUGUGUCUUCCUCAACGUUGAGCUCUUCGUAGAACGGCAAUGGGGGCAUUGCUGCCAAGGAAAAGAAUUCUUCAGAAGAAAUCAAUCUCAAAAUAAUUACCUGAAGGCUUCACAUCAAGUCCGGGGGCCUUUCCUGCUGGUGGUGUUCGGGGCAUAUCAUAUGUCAUGGAGGACGGCUUUGGUACAUCUGGAGGACUGGUACAUCUUAUAAGUGCCCAGUUCACAUUCUGGAAGAAAGGAUGUUGUUUUAUUUCAGUAGCCCCUCGCCUAUAUGCAAGGCGAUGUUGUGGCUCCUUCACAAGUAGGCCUCUUAUCAAGUCCCUUGCUGCAAAACUAACACUAGGUGUUUCAGGAAAUUUCAAGGGCUGUCCAACAACGUUAAACAAUGUUGCCCUGUUGCCUGCACCUUUGAAAGGAGUUUGUCCAA
rnacentral:misc_RNA from 1 species